AAAACCUGCGCCGCUGGCUUUUGUGGUCGGCGAUGAAUUUUUGAGAAAAUGUUGCCAGUAGAAUAAAGGGAGAUUGAGUUGAUGAAAUUUUUCCACGCAGGAGUUGGUCUCUAAUAUGGCCGCUCAGUGAGUGCACUUUUCUCUAGUUGGAAUACAACUAAAAGGACUGACGUAACUUUAUUUGGAAAAUCUGUAAUUAAUGAGCGACUUUGGCAAUGAAUCAGAGAAAAGGAUGGGCCGGGUAAACAAAUUGACUGUUUGGCUUUCUGCAGGGAUGACUGCUCGCAGAGGAUAAACCAUGCUUCAGCGCUUCGAAAUGGAAAAACCAACUUCUUUGGAUACAGAACGUGAGAGUGUCAAAUGGAGCAGAAAAAAAUUAUUUUUCCAAGGACAAAAAUGCGCAUUGUAGAAGUAAUAAACACAGAGGAGGACUGUAUAUGUCAUAUUGAACACAGGCACGUUGUUUGAAUUUGGCCACGCCACAAAGGAAGAUGAUUUCCACCCCCAUCAAUCGAUUUCGGCAUAUCAGCGCCCGUGUCACACGCUCGUUCUACAUAUUUCCAGUUCAAAUAGCUGAUGCUUAUGACCUAUAGGUAUGCCAUGGCGAUUACAUCAUUUCUCAAGUGGUACAGCCAUAGAGGCGUGAGGUGCUGGCGGCUGGUACUGAUACUUGUACAUACAGACUGAUAGCAAGCACAGGGUCAGCUCAUGGUCAUCAUGACAACAGUGGUGGUCAUCUUGGGUCAUCUUGACCACCAAUGGAAUGUCCAGUUGAAGGGUUUUUGUAUGACAGUUUCCUUGACUUCAUGGAAGAUGGCCAGUAGUGACUAUGAUUUAAGCCAUCAGUUCAUGAAAGGUGUUUCAGUUAAGGACUUUGUUUUAUGCCAGUCCCGCGACCCAGCAAGCUGUUCUGUAGCCUCACCUCUGACCUUGCCUAAGUUUUACACCGAAUGACCCCGAGGAAGUCAACUCGGUACAGUGCGUGGAAGUUAUCCAAAAGUGGAUCAUUCAUGUUGUACCUGAACAAGCCAAAGUUAAAAGCGCAAGAGAGCAGUUCCAGCCAGCCCCUGAGGUGAGAGAAGACACCCCUGGACUAACAUCUGUCCAUUAACAUGAACAUUUUUACUGAUUAACAUGGAUAAUCACGGCUGUGUUGUUGACGCUUUUUGUACUUUUAUAAUAUCUUGAUCAGUAAAAACACACCAGUUGAUAUGUUCAUGCAUAUUGUGGGUAUUUCUAAUUGCAGUUUGGGAAAUAUUAAUAUAUAUUUAUAAAGAGAAUUUUUGAAUGUGUCUAAACGGUUGUUUUGUGUUGUUGAUUUGAUGAGUACUAUUUGUUCGUGCAUAUUGUGGGUCUUUCUAAGCAGUUUGGGAAAUAUUAAUAUAUAUAUUUAUAAAGGGAAUUUUGAGUGUGUUUCUAAACGGUUGUUUUGUGUUGUUGUUUUGAUUAUUUUUACUAUUGAGGGUCCUGGCAUUGAUUAUGUCCCAUGAUUGCUUUUGUGACACUCAUUGGUAUAGGGGACAAUCUAGUGCUUUUUUUCUCACAUGUAAUGAAAUUAUGAAUACCGUUUUCAAUUUGAUAUUAUAAACGCAAACACUGCAUAAAAAAAAAUUAUAUUACUUUUAUUGAAGUUGUACCAGGUACAUUAUGCCCGAUGAUUGAUGCCGAUGACGUUUGUAACAGAAUAUAUAUUGGAAAAAAACAAUAUGUUGUUUAUGAAUUAUACUGCACGUCUUCAUUUUAAAC